rnacentral:rRNA from 1 species
UACGGAGGGUGCGAGCGUUGUCCGGAAUCAUUGGGCGUAAAGGGCGCGUAGGUGGCCCGGUCAGCGUGCGGUGAAAGCUCGGGGCUCAACCCCGAGUCGGCCGUGCGAACUGCUGGGCUGGAGCACUGUAGAGGCAGGCGGAAUUCCGGGUGUAGCGGUGGAAUGCGUAGAGAUCCGGAAGAACACCGGUGGCGAAGGCGGCCUGCUGGGCAGUGGCUGACACUGAGGCGCGAAAGCAUGGGGAGCGAACAGG